CCCGGCAGCCAUGGGGGGCCUGGCCUGGCCCCCACCCCCUGCCCCCGGCCCCAGCCCUCAGUCCCUACCCUCCCCGUCCCUCCUCCCAGCAGCACCCAGACACAGCAGCCUCACCCCUUCCUGAACUGGCCCCCAGGGCCCCUGCGGGAGCCUGGCACUGACCAAACCCUGAGGGCCCCCACCCGGCCCUGCCCCCUGUCCUGUGGCCUGGGGAUCACGGCCCACGGGAGGAAGACAAGUCGCGUGCGAGGGAGCCGCCCCUCGGCCACUGGCAACCCCCAGAGCCGCUCUUCUCCCAAGGCCCAGGCAGGAGAGGUGGCGCUGAGGGGGUCGGUGCCAAGCAGGUCCCUCUGCCCCCCGCAGGCAGACCCCCAGGCUCUGCCGGCUAUUCCGGGCCUGGGGCUGCCUCCAGGCUGGGCUUGGGGUGCCCUGGCCUGCGUGUGUCCGCGUGUCUGUGACAAGCUCUCCAAUAAAGGGCCUGCCUUGCUUCCCUGUGGGGCCGCCUGCGUCUGUGUGUCUGCGCGUCUGCUUGCCCGGUGCGGUCGGGGGCCACCCCACCCAUCAGCCCCAGCUCAGGUAGGGGUUCCCGCACACUCGAGACAGUGCACAGACCCCCGCCCCCGACACACAUGGCCUGUGCCCCCCCCAUCCCCUCCUGCGCAUGUGCUGCUCUUCAGGCCUGGCUCCCUGGCCCCUCAGAACCCUGGCCCGAGCCCCGCUCCUCAGCCCCCUCACGACGGCUUGGGCCAUCUGGGCCCCUUGCUCUCUCUCGUGAGGUCACGCGACAUCUGCUUCUCUCUUCCACGCACUCAAACGCUCGGGAAGAUGUCCGGGAGUGACAGCGGGCACAGGUGGGGCGUCCCUGGCCUGAUGCGACAGCCCCUGUGGGGCUGCGAAGGCGGGCUCUCCCCUCGGUCCUCCCCUCCCCUCCUCGCCGGCAGUCCCCUGGCGCCUCCCCUCUGCCCCCACAGCCUCCGUCAGUCCAUGUGGCCCACAUCACUCCUUGGGCAGGACACUGGCACCUCCCCGUUUCCACGGGGCUACCUGGGCAGCCCAUAG
rnacentral:lncRNA from 1 species